AUGAACGCUGGCGGCGUGCCUAACACAUGCAAGUCGAACGGAGUUAUGAUGUGAGCGGGAAGUGCUUGCACUAAACAAUCUUUUCAUAACUUAGUGGCGGACGGGUGAGUAACGCGUGGGUAACCUGCCCUGUACUGGGGGACAACAGUUGGAAACGACUGCUAAUACCGCAUAACACAAGUAAUUCGCAUGAAUAACUUGCCAAAGAUUAUAUCGGUGUGAGAUGGAUCCGCGUCUGAUUAGCCAGUUGGCGGGGUAACGGCCCACCAAAGCGACGAUCAGUAGCCGACCUGAGAGGGUGACCGGCCACAUUGGGACUGAGACACGGCCCAAACUCCUACGGGAGGCAGCAGUGGGGAAUAUUGCACAAUGGGCGCAAGCCUGAUGCAGCGACGCCGCGUGAAGGAUGAAGUAUUUCGGUAUGUAAACUUCUAUCAGCAGGGAAGAAAAUGACGGUACCUGACUAAGAAGCCCCGGCUAACUACGUG
rnacentral:rRNA from 1 species